UACGGAGGAUGCAAGCGUUAUCCGGAAUUAUUGGGCGUAAAGCGUCCGCAGGUGGUUAGACAAGUCUGCUGUUAAAGCGUGGAGCUUAACUCCAUAUCGGCGGUGGAAACUGUCUGACUAGAGUUCGGUAGGGGUCACGGGAAUUCCCAGUGUAGCGGUGAAAUGCGUAGAUAUUGGGAAGAACACCAGCGGCGAAAGCGGGUGACUGGGCCGAGACUGACACUCAUGGACGAAAGCUAGGGGAGCGAAUGGG
rnacentral:rRNA from 1 species